UCAGCUAUCGACUAUUCCUUCGCAAUUUAUCACCAUGUAUGUCUGGAGCCUACCCACGCCCAAUUUAGAGAUAAUCUGACAAAGACUCUAGGAGGAGUUUGAAUGAGUUCGUGAAAAAUGUGUAAAAAUUCCACAAAUUUCAAAAUGGCCGACUUCCUGUUGGGCGGAGCUAAUACCAGUCAAUGGGUAAUAUGUGCGGGAUGAUACUUUCUAUGUUGUUGCCAAAAAUCGAGAAUAUUGGAGAAAUUUUGAGACAGCUACAGCUAAUUUAAUGGCCUAAAUAAAAUAGGGGGCGCUGUAGAGUCAUCUAGCUACACAUGAGAAAAACGACAAAAUAUUUCUAAAUCAUUUCAAAGACUUAUUGAAUCUGCCAAUUAUCAAGAGGCUGAGAGCUUUUUAUAAAUGUGAUAUAAAAUAGGUGGCGCUAGAGAGCUGAUGAAACACGAAUUUACGAAAUUCCAACUUAAGGUCAAAGUUUGGCCUAAGCCAAAUAGCUCUGUAAAAUUUUAGGAGAUUUCAAACAUCUUAACCCCUCCGAAACUCAGCGGGAAACUUUUUAUUUCGCAACUUCCUGUCAAAAUGGCCGACUUCCUGUUGGGCGGAGUCAAAUAAAACCAAGUGAUUCUUGUUGUUUAUGAGGAGGUCAAUGAGCGUACCAAAGUUGGUGCACGUUGGACAAACUUCAUCUCGGCCAAUGCCGAUGUUUGGUGGCGCUAUAGAGCUCCUGAACCACGCCAAAGUCCAGCCUCUAUGGAACUUUACAAUUUUCGCCGAGUUUGAGGCCUGUGCCAAAAUGCGUGAGUUUUCGAGUAUCGGAAAUGCCUCAAAAAUGGACGCAAAGAGGCAGAAUAAUAAUAAUAAUAAUAAUAAUAAUAAUAAUAAACGGACCAAAAACAAUAGGGCUUUGCACCUCCGGUGCAGGCUUCGCCUGCGCCUUCGGUGCUCGGGCCCUAAUAAUAAUAAACGGACCAAAAACAAUAGGGCUUUGCACCUCCGGUGCAGGCUUCGCCUGCGCCUUCGGUGCUCGGGCCCUAAAAAUUGGCUUUUACAUAUAGUGUGAACGCUGUUUAGUGAUUCAGGCUAAAGGAUGAAACCGAAACUUCACAUGAAGCGCUGCUGAGCACCAGUUAUACAGUGUGAACAGCCUGAAACAUUGGGUUUGGUAAGAAAAUCUCACCAGAUUUAGAGCCUUUUCACCUGCUGUGUGAACCGGUGGGGGUUCUAUUAUGGUUCUAUGACUUGGUAUUUAAAUCACAAGAGAACUUUCUCUACUGCUUUCAUCUGUUGAUAAGCACUCAUUUACACCACACACACACCCAUAUACAUACAUACAUACACACACACACACACCCCCCACACUGUGAGGAGGCUAGAGGGAGAAAACCCAAGAUACGUUUUAUAUUUAUUCUUAUUAAUGCAAGUAAAAUCAUCUGAAAAUGAUCCGGUCUUUAAAACGUAUUUUAAUACCAGGUGUAAACAGUCUCUAAAACAGAUUUAUUUUAUUUAUAUUUGCAUUUACAUUUUUCCUCAAUUCCAUUUAGGAAAUUUACAACUUGACACCAUUCGAUUAAUCAAUCUUUUUUUAGUUUUUUUAGAAAGACAAAGUUUGAACUGAAGAACUGGAUUAAAAAUAUCUACUUUUACAUUUAAAAUCUCUGCAUCCAUUUCUUUCUGCUCCUCCCGUUCUUGCUUUUAUCCCGUUCCUCCUCUUCCUCCUGCAGUUUUCUCUUUGCUCUCUUUUCAUUACUGCUCCUCCAUUACUGUGGUUGCUCCAUCAAAUUGCCUUUUGCCUUUUGAGUUUGUUUUUGUUUUUCUUUUAAUGAAAAUAUACAAUUUAAAACAUUAAAAUUUUAACUUAAUUUUUUAUGUUUUAAGAGCUUUUUUUAAUCAAAGGGUUUUUUUUAACAAUCUAAUAGUGUAGUAAUUGCUGGUGUUUGCAGUAACAGUUGAUUACAGAAAAGUCGAAUGAACUGUAAAUCAAAUAUUCAAAGGCAUACACUGCAUAUAUAUGUGUAAUAUAAAAAUAAAAAAAUACUACACACACAAAUACACACUUAUGCAUGUAAAGUUUGGGCACCUCUGGUUAAGAUGUGUUAAAGUAUUUAGGUAACAGCUAAAUUGGUUAAAGACCAUUACCUGAUUUCUCUUCUCUUAAAGGCGUAAAUAAAUGAUGACCUGUUUUUAAAAUAUUUUAGGAUUUAAGAGUACUUUCAUCUUUUGCAGGUGUGUUUAGGAUUGAUAAAUAUCCUGCAAAUGGGAGUCAUCCUCUUUUUAUAUCGUUGGCUCUUUUUCAAUGAUGUGAUGUAUGCUCUAGAAUUUGCUGGUGCUUAAUUAAAUAUUUUCUUCCAUUUACCGCUGACUGUACUCCAAGGCCAGCGUCUGAUUGAUUCAGCCACAUGCUUAAAUUUGAGGUGUUCUUUUCAGCAAAUUCCACACAAGCAUACCUUUGGCUCAUUGUGGCCAAAAAACUCCUCUAUUGCAACUUCAUCGGUCCACAGGACCUGAUUCCAGAGGCUGAAUUUGAGUCUGAGGAUUGUGUUGCUGCACAGUAGAAUAGUGCCUGUGCAUCACUAUGAAACAGUCUGCUGUAAAUCUGUAUUUUUAAUGUAUAGACCUCAACUAUUCCUGUAAAGUAGCAUUUCUUGAAUACAUUUCAAAGUGAAAAAAUGUCAAUGUCAUUUAUAUCGUGUAGCAGAAAUCAAUUAGAAGUUAGAUUUUUAGAAAGCUGUGCUAGGCAGGUGCUUAGAGGAGCCCAUCGCUUAUAUUGUAAAGUAUUGUAAAGAAUUUGCAUCAUCUAAACUAUGAUUUUGAACAAUCCUAUUAAUUUGUUACAAAAAUGAAUUCAUGAAAGCUCAAAUCACUUGGAUUGCACUUAGUUGUCCAUCUCCAAAAAAGCAACUUUACAGGAGAGAGGAAAAACCUUCUAAACUUUCAAUGAAACUCAAUGUAAAAAGAGUUUAUUUCAGGUCAUUUUUAAGUAUUUCUAUUGCUCUAUUCAUAAAGACAUUUUGCCACAGUGUAAGGGACAGUUUGUCGGUUCAAAUUAUGUAGUAAAUCUAAAAUCGACAAAAAGGGAGAUUACUUGUUUUUCAUCGGACGGCAAUGAUAUAUUAAGAAUAUACAGCUCUGGACAAAAUGAAACAAUCAUUUCAUUUUCUGAAUCAGAUUAUCUGAUUGUCCCAAAUUACUAAUUAAAAAUAUUGUCAUUUAGAGCAAUUAUUUGCAGAAAAUGAGAAAUGGCUGAAAAAAUGUCUGAAAAAGAUGCAGAGCUUUCAGACCUCAAAUAAUGCAAAGAAAACAAGUUAAAAUUCAAAGUUUUAAGAGUUCAGAAAUCAAUAUUUGGUGGAAUAACCCUGUUUUUUAAUCACAGUUUUCAUCAUGCAUCUUGGCAUCAUGUUCUCCUCCACCAGUCUUACACACUGCUUUUGGAUAACUUUAAGCCUUUACUCCUGGUGCAAAAAUUAAAGCAGUUCAGUUUGGUUUGAUGGCUUGUGAUCAUCCAUCUUCCUCUUGAUUAUAUUCCAGAGGUUUUUUAAUUUGGUAAAAUCAAUAAAGAAACUCAUCGUUUUUAAGUGAUCUCUUUUUUUUUUCCAGAGCUGUAUAUACAAUGAUCUUGCUUAAUACGUUUGGAAGGGGGAAAAAAAAGUGUCGUCUUUAAUUUGAAUGUUAACUUUUAGGGAAAUCAGCUCACUUUUUUUUUAUACUUUUGUACUUUUGACCAGGGGUGCCCCAAUCUGUGCAUGCCUAAGAUAUACACCAAUCAAACAUAACAUUAUGACCACCUUCUUGCUUCUACACCCAUAUUAUUUUAAAUCUUUUUCCCAGCUCCUCUGAUGAUGCUGUCGACAGGACCCUGUUGGUGGACUAUUUUCCAUUAUUGUCCAGCAGCACUGCUAAUGACUACAACCUAAAUAAUCUAAAUAAUACGUAAUACAGAAGCUGCUCUCUGUGGUCUGUAAUUAUUAUCAUUAUUUAUUAUUAUUAUUAUUAUUAUUAUUAUAGAACUACAAAGUGGUGCUCCUCAUAUAUGCUUUAAUAAGGAGGUGGUCAAUGUUAUUUUUGAUUGGUAUAUAUUGUGUGUAUGUGUAUAUGAUUUUAUAUGUUCAGCCAGAAAAAAAAAAAAAAAGUGUGUUUUGUUCGAUAGGUACUUGAAAUAUUUGGUGAUCCUGUUUUUUAUAUAUAUAUAUAUAUAUAUAUAUAUAUAUAUAUUAAUUAUUAUUAUUAUUAUUUUUUUCUUUGUUGGGUUUUAUUUUUUUUUUUUGGGGGGGGGAUUUGUAUGUAUUUACAGUAGUGUUUUCAGAUUUCAGAUUUUAAACUGUGCCUGUGAGAAUGAACGGGCGCUCCAUUGCAGUAAGGGUUUGAUUGCAGGCAGGAGAAUGGCUACGGAUGAAUGAAUGUAACCCUUGUUUACGCAUACACUCGCUCAGACACACUCGCUCAUACAUGCACACACAUCUGUAUAUACACACACACACACACACACGAGUGUCGCUCACACCCUCAUGUACUGCAUUUCUUUUAUUCUUCCUUUUCUCGCUCUCUUUUUAUUCUUCAUACUCACGAGACGAACACACUCUCUUCUAGUUUUAUGCAUCAUUCAGGUGUACUUUUUUUCUUUUCUUUUUUUUUUAAAUAUAGAUUUUUUUUUUAACAAAACCCAUCCCCCCUUUUUCUCUACAGAAACUCUAGUGCUGUGGAGGCCAAGUUUUUAUUUUAUUUUUAUUUUUAUUUGAUUUCAUUUUAUUUUAUUUAGUUUUUUGGCGCUUACUGAUUAUUCAUUGACCUCACCUGAUUUGGUGUGUAGCUUUAAAAAUGCCUGUUAACUAAAUAUUGAAUUGAAAUAUUGAAUUAGAUGAUUGAUUAAUUGAUUGAUUGAUUGAUUGUUUAUUUGUUUAUGUAUGUAUAUAUAUUUUUGCAGUUGUAUUAUUUUAUUUUUCUUUUUUGUUCUUGUUGUUUAUCCCACUGGUACACACACACACACACACACACAAACCUGUAGCCAUAUGCUGGAAAAGCUUAAUUUUAUUAUGGAUAGGAGUUCAAUUUACUAAAUGAUUUGCAAUUGAAAUGUUUAAAGAUUAUAUAUUUUGUGCUGUGGGUGCCAAAGGGCAAGCACCUGCGUUUUUUGUACAUCUACAAUUAUUGAUGAAUAGAAUGAUUCUUGUGACAGAUAUUUUAUUUAUUCAGAAGAUUUGGCUUUAUGAGAUGUGCUAUGUGAGAGGGGGAGGGGCUUGUGACGGGAGCUGGGAGGGAGGGAGGGAGGGACACUGCUGGCCCAAUCUGUUUUAGAUGAAUCUCUCUUGACCUCUUCGUUCUUUCUCUCUCCCUCUUUCAGUCUCUCUCUUUUCCUUUUUAUGAUCUCCCUACUUUCCAAAAUCUUUCUCUUUUAUUCUUUUUUUUAUCUCUCUAUUUCCUCUCUCUCAGAUCUUCUCUCUCUAAUUAAAUCCUUGUAACGAUAGCCCCCAGUAUGAUGUUGUGAUGUUUCAUUAGCAUACAGUGAUGAACCUGAUCUGUUAUCAAUAAAGGAUUGCUAAAGGUUGAUGUUAAUACCA